rnacentral:snRNA from 1 species
GUGCUCGCUUUGGCAGCACAUAUACUAAAAUUGGAACGAUACAGAGAAGAUUAGCAUGGCCCCUGUGCAAGGAUGAUGCGCAAAUUUGUGAAGCGUUCCAUAUUUUU